rnacentral:rRNA from 1 species
AGGGAGAGUAAUACGCGGGUACCUACCUCGGGGUUCAGGAUAGCGGCGGGAAACUGCCAUUAAUACUGAAUAAUGUCUACGGACCAAAGGUGUGAUUCCACCUCGAGACGGGCCCACGUCCUAUCAGCUAGUUGGUGGGGUAAUGGCCUACCAAGGCAAUGACGGGUAUGGGGCGUGAGAGCGUGCCCCCACUCACUGGGACUGAGACACUGCCCAGACACCUACGGGUGGCUGCAGUCGAGAAUCUUCGGCAAUGGGCGAAAGCCUGACCGAGCGAUGCCGCGUGCGGGAUGAAGGCCCUCGGGUUGUAAACCGCUGUCGUAGGGGAGGAAGGCUCUGUGAAGAACAGGGUUUGACCGAUCCUAGGAGGAAGUGGAGGCUAACCUCGUGCCAGCAGCCGCGGUAAGACGAGGUCCACAAACGUUAUUCGGAAUUACUGGGCUUAAAGCGUGCGUAGGCGGCCUAGCAAGUCAGGUGUGAAAGCCCUCGGCUCAACCGAGGAAUUGCGCCCGAAACUGGUGGGCUUGAGUGAGACAGAGGUGAGCGGAACUGAUGGUGGAGC